GCUCAAGGCGUAUUUGAGAAGAGGGAGAUGCACAUUUCCCCAGGCGUGGCCGCAGCACGGACAAAGGAGCAGCCCAGUAUGGAUUCUGGAGGCUGGGAAGCCCCAAAUCAAAGUGCUGGCAGAUUUGUGCUCUGUGCUUCACAAUGGUGCCUCGUGCCAUCCCUCUGUGUGGCAGAGGCCUAAGAAGACCCUGAACGUGGCAGAAAAGGCAGAAGGACAAAAGAACACUUGCAUCUGUCAUUCCCUCUGUCUGGAUGGACUCUCCCGUGUCCCGGUAGCAGGAUCUUUCCUGUCACUCACAUCUCAGCUGAAAUGUCACCUCUGCAGAGAGACCUCCUUGGCCAUCAGCUGAAGUCAGAUUUCUCUUUCCGUUCUAUCAUCCUGCCCAUUUUCUUCCUAAUGGUCAUAAUUAUCUGAAUAUAUAUUGCUUACUUA